rnacentral:rRNA from 1 species
CCUUCGGGUCUAGUGGCGCACGGGUGCGUAACGCGUGGGAAUCUGCCCUUUGGUACGGAAUAACUCAGGGAAACUUGAGCUAAUACCGUAUAAUGACUUCGGUCCAAAGAUUUAUCGCCUGAGGAUGAGCCCGCGUAGGAUUAGCUUGUUGGUGAGGUAAAAGCUCACCAAGGCGACGAUCCUUAGCUGGUCUGAGAGGAUGAUCAGCCACACUGGGACUGAGACACGGCCCAGACUCCUACGGGAGGCAGCAGUGGGGAAUAUUGGACAAUGGGCGAAAGCCUGAUCCAGCAAUGCCGCGUGAGUGAUGAAGGCCUUAGGG